rnacentral:ncRNA from 1 species
GAAAAAUCAAAUCAAACCAGAAAAAAAUGAGAAAGAAAAUAAAAUGCAAGCAAACAACAACAAAAAGAGUGAAAAUGCUAUUUUGUGAUCCACACUGGAUUCCCACAGUCUUCUCUCUGGGUAUAGAUGGCUCUCUUAAUCACAAGAUCAUUGGAACUUGUCUGAAUCAUCUCAUUGUUGAAGAAAGCCAUGUUCAUCAGAAUUGAUUAUCAUAUAGUCUUGUUAACGCCAUGCAUAAUGAUCUCCUGGUUCUGCUCAUUUCUAGCAUCAGUUCAUAUAAGUUUCUCCAGGUCACUUGAAAUCAUCCUGCUGGUCAUUUCUUACAGAACAAUAAUAUCCCUUAACAUUCAUAUACCAUAACUUAUUCAGCCAUUCUACAACUGAUGGGCAUCCAUUCAGUUUCCAAUUUCUUGCCCUUAUAAAAAGGGCUGCUACAAAUAUUUUUGCAUAUGUGGGUCUCUUUCUCUUGUUUAAGAUCUGUUUGGGAUAUAAUCCCAAUAGAAAAACAGCUAGGUCAAAGGGUAUGCACAGUUUGAUAGUACUUUGGGCACAGUUCUAAACUGCUCUCAGAAGACUCUGGCAUGCUAACUAGUUACGCGACCCCCGAGUGGUCGGUGUCCCAACUUCUAAGAGGGACAAGUGGCGUUCAGCCACCCGAGAUUGAGCAAUAACAGGUCUGUGAUGUCCUUAGAUGUCCAGGGCUGCACCCGCGCUACACUGAGUGGCUCAGCCGUGUGCCUACCCUACGCCGGCAGGCACGGGUAACCCGUUGAACCACAUUUGUGAUGGGGAUUGGGGAUUGCAAUUAUUACCCAUGAACAAGGAAUUCCCAGUAAGUGUGGGUCAUAAGCUUCCUUUGAUUAAAUCCCUGUCCUUUGUACACACCGCCCGUUGCUACUACUGAUUAGAUGGUUUAGUGAGGUCCUAGUUCAGCCCCGCCAGGUUGGCCCACGGCCCUGACGGAGUGCUAUCUAGAGGAUAGUCUUUUUUUUUUGUAAAAGAUUACAAGUAAUCCUUU